CUGAUGCAUGAGCCAGUAGCCAUGGAGCCAUGGUUGAGAGUGUAAUGAAGGCAAGCUGUGAAGUGAUUGAAUAUGGCUGGAGCAAGGACCGGGCUUCUAUAAACACUUUUAUCAUCGGAUUAGCAGCAAGUGUCCGGGAUAGGAAUGAUUACGAUGAACAGCCUGGAUGAAUAUCGGGUGGAAAGGAGAAGCAGGAAGUUCCUGUUGUGCAACUUAACCUAAUACGCACAGCAGUAGAUUUAAGUGUUGCUAUUAGCAAGUCUGAAGUUGUGGAUAUGGUGCUGCCGAGGGCGAUGCUUCAGCUGCUGGUUUACUGCAGAUUCGUCUCCUUGUUGCUGUGUCUCAUAUAGCAAGUACAGGCUUUGAGAAGUCAUUUUGCGAGACCGUGGUUUUGAUGACAAGAAGCUACUUGAGCUGGCUUUCGAGUUUAGGGUCUGUUGAAAGCGAAAAACAUUGGCCUGGGAAGCCACAACAGAACGCGUUGAGAUUACUGUCACCGUCUGCUAUCUUUGUGCUCAGAUGUAGGCUUGGCAGAGGAGAGCAAAAUGGGAAGAUCUUUUGGGCCCUCUACUUCCUGCUGUUGCUGAGAUAUGUACUGACUUCAAUCCCUCGAUGACGUGGAGCCAUCUCUUUUGAAGUUAUUUCGGAACUUAUGGUUCUAUGUAGCUCUUUUUGGUCUAGUAUGGGAAGCAUAAGUGCAAUUCCUCUUUAGGCUGUGGGUGGACCGUACGCGUGGAACGCACGGCGGUCUGCUGCUGUCCAGGAAAUUUCACAGGGGACUCCUCCCCUUCUCCAGAUUUUUCUUUUAUCAUCACAAGAAACAAUCAUGUUCGCAGUUACCCGAAAUAGCUCCUAUUAUGUCGUUGACUGAAAUUGGGAGCUAUUUUAUGAAGGACACUGAAUGCUGCAAUUAGGUUGCAGAUGGAUGCCAGUUCUUGUGAUCCUGUAGUUAGCUCUGUGACAUGGCUUGAAGAUGAAUUGGAAUUUAAUGCUCUCCACAACCCCGGUAGUUGCAGAGGGAGUGGCGAUGAGAAAGCUGCUGUAGCCCACAGUGCUGCUCUUUCUGCUGCUUUGGGAGGGCGAGUAGAUGUUGGAGGAAUGAGCACAAUUUCAGGUUGGUUAUGCUGAGGAAUUAGAGUGGCGAAGGUGAAUUAGAGAGCACCAUGGCACUGGGUAUAUUAGGAUCAGAUGGGAUGCCAUGUCUGAUGGCGCUGUGUAGAGAUGGACUAAAAAUUCUUCAGCCUGCCUUCUAACCUGAAGUGUUUUCUCACAUCUUCAGGAAGAUCGCAUAUUUGACACAGGCCUUGGGGCAGUGACUCUCUGAAAUGAAUGGUCGCAAAUUCCAAUGUAGGGGACACGGGAUUUCUUCAUUAUAAUAGCUUACUCUUCCGUGUCUUUCUGAAAACCUUUCUUAUAUGACCUGUGGUAGAGAAACUUCAUAUGUGGAGAAAACAUAUCCAACUUCUUAAAUUUGGAAUACGAUUUGUUAUGUAAUCAUAUGCUAUAAUCAUAUGCUGGAAAUUACGCUAUUA